rnacentral:rRNA from 1 species
GACGAACGCUGGCGGCGUGCUUAACACAUGCAAGUCGAACGGUGAAGCGCCUUCCUUGUUGGUGGGUGUGGAUGAGUGGCGAACGGGUGAGUAACACGUGAGUAACCUUCCCCCUUCUUCAGGAUAACCGCAUGAAAGUGUGUCUAAUACAGGAUAUUCUGGGUCUGUCGCAUGAUUGGUCUGGGAAAGAUAUUGUUUCGGUGGGGGAUGGGCUCGCGGCCUAUCAGCUUGUUGGUGCGGUGAUGGCCUACCAAGGCGGUGACGGGUCGCCGGCCUGAGAGGGUGGCCGGUCACACUGGGACUGCGGCACGGUUCGGACUGCUACGGGAGCCAGAAGUGGGGAAGAGUGAACAAUGGGGGAAAGUCUGAUGCAGCGGCGACGCGUGAGCGAUGGAGGCCUUCGGGUUGUGAACCUCUUCCGCUAGUGAAGCAGGCCUGCCUCGUUUGUGGGUGGGUUGACAGUAGCUGGAUAAGAAGCGCCGGCUAACUACGUG